rnacentral:rRNA from 1 species
UACGUAGGGGGCUAGCGUUGUCCGGAAUCAUUGGGCGUAAAGCGCGUGUAGGCGGCUUGGUAAGUCCGUUCUGAAAGCCCGGGGCUCAACCCCGGGAGGCGGAUGGAUACUGUCAAGCUCGAGUCCGGAAGAGGCAAGUGGAAUUCCCGGUGUAGCGGUGAAAUGCGCAGAUAUCGGGAGGAACACCAAUGGCGAAGGCAGCUCGCUGGGACGUUACUGACGCUGAGACGCGAAAGCGUGGGGAGCGAACAGG